UACGUAGGGUGCAAGCGUUGUCCGGAAUUAUUGGGCGUAAAGAGCGUGUAGGCGGCCCGAUUAGUCCGCUGUGAAAGUCCAGGGCUCAACCCUGGAAUGCCGGUGGAUACUGUCGGGCUAGAGUCCGGAAGGGGCGAGUAGAAUUCCUGGUGUAGCGGUGAAAUGCGCAGAUAUCAGGAGGAACACCAAUGGCGAAGGCAGCUCGCUGGGACGUGACUGACGCUGAGACGCGAAAGCGUGGGGAGCAAACAGG
rnacentral:rRNA from 1 species